rnacentral:rRNA from 1 species
AAUAACGAUGCUUAUUCUUACGGUACCAUCAGCUCCGGUUCACGACCGGAGGUUUUUUCCCGUACAAAAGCAGUUUACAACCCAUAGGGCUGUCAUCCUGCACGCGGCAUGGCUGGUUCAGACUUGCGUCCAUUGACCAAUAUUCCUUACUGCUGCCUCCCGUAGGAGUCUGGUCCGUGUCUCAGUACCAGUGUGGGGGUGAAUCCUCUCAGAACCCCUAGACAUCGUAGCCUUGGUGAGCCGUUACCUCACCAACUAGCUAAUGUCGCGCAUGCCCAUCUAAGACCGCCGGAGCUUUAAUUAUAAUGAGAUGCCUCAUCAUAAUUUUAUGGGGUAUUAAUCCCGAUUUCUCGGGGCUAUCUCCCAGUCAAAGGUAGGUUGCAUACGUGUUACGCACCCGUGCGCCACUCGUCAGCAUCCAUUGCUGGACCUGUUACCGUUCGACUUGCAUGUAUUAGGCCUGCCGCUAGCGUUAAUCCUGAGCCAGGAUCAAACUCUAAUCGAAUUCCCGCGGCCGCCAUGGCGGCCGGGAGCAUGCGACGUCGGGCCCAAUUCGCCCUAUAGUGAGUCGUAUACAU